rnacentral:lncRNA from 1 species
UCAUCAUAUAUACAUACAUACCAAAAAAUCCAUUUAAAUAGCACAUCGCUCCUCAAUAUAUAUUUAUUAUCCACAUAUUUUUCUCAAACUAGUACGUACGUACUCUUUGCCUAUAUAGGUUAAAAAAAGAUGGGAAAAAAUCUAAGCAUUACUUUGGGCAUUAUAGCAAUAUUACUUCUUGUUCUAACCAUGAUAAAACCACAUGAAGCUUGCAGACUUUUAGAUGAAGAAGAAGAAUUAUGGAGAAAAACAACAAAUAAGAAUAUUGAUCUUCAUCUACAAGCUCUGCCCAAGGGUGAUCCGGCUGGCCCUCCUGCACCCAAUGGCUGCACCUACGUCCCCAGGAGCGGAGGAAACCGCUGCGUGAUCAACCAGAAGGGCUUCGCCGGACACACUGCGGCUCUUUCUCCUCCUCAAGUAUACCCACAGUUCAUGACUCAAUUUAGUGUUGCUUCUUAGCCUAAAUAAAUAAAGUCUUCUAGUACUGAGGCCGCCAAACAUUAAUAACCAAAUACUCCAAAUUAGCAGCAUGAAAACCAAAUGGAUAUAUAAUUCCUUCUGAUUUUACUUUCUUAAUUUCAUUCUUUUAUUUACUUUUUACUUGUACUUAAAUCUCAUUCUUAAUAUAAUAAUAUUGUACGUGUGAUCGAAUGUUGCAAUUGUAUGUUUUUUUACUUUAAUAUAUAACUUUCUUUUCCCCCU